UGCCACUGCUGGUCCCACCUGACCCCAUGCCGAACUCAGAAGUGAAACGCCGUAGCGCCGAUGGUAGUGUGGGGUCUCCCCAUGCGAGAGUAGGGAACUGCCAGGC
rnacentral:rRNA from 1 species